rnacentral:rRNA from 1 species
UACGAAGGGGGCUAGCGUUGCUCGGAAUCACUGGGCAUAAAGGGUGCGUAGGCGGGUCUUUAAGUCAGGGGGGAAAUCCUGGAGCUCAACUCCAGAACUGCCUUUGAUACUGAAGAUCUUGAGUUCGGGAGAGGUGAGUGGAACUGCGAGUGUAGAGGUGAAAUUCGUAGAUAUUCGCAAGAACACCAGUGGCGAAGGCGGCUCACUGGCCCGGUACUGACGCUGAGGUGCGAAAGCGUGGGGAGCAAACAGG